GACACUGAAGCCACAGUAUAGUUCCUGGCUGGCCCCUUUCGACCAGGCAAGAUGGCUGUUAACCCGAUCCUGUCAGCUUGCUUCCUGGGCUUCAUCCUUGGACUCACGCUUGGCCAAGAGACAACGCCCAGGAAACCCAUCAUUCUGAAUAAUCCUCCUUUUAUGACAGCGUUGCCGG